AUUGAACGCUGGCGGCAGGCUUAACACAUGCAAGUCGAGCGAGAGGCGGACGGGUGAGUAAUGUCUGGGAAACUGCCUGUUGGAGGGGGAUAACUACUGGAAAAGGUAGCUAAUACCGCAUACCCUCAGAUGUGCCCAGAUGGGAUAAGCGAGUAGGUGGGGUAAUGGCUCACCUAGGCGACGAUCCCUCGCUGGUCGGAGAGGAGGACGAGCCACACGGGACAUGAGACACGGUCCAGACUCCAACGGGAGGCAGCAGUGGGGAAUAUUGCACAAUAGGCGCAAGCCUGAUGCAGCCAUGCCGCUUGGGUGAAGAAGGCCAUCGGGUUGUAAAGCACUUUCAGCGAGGAGGCGUUACUCGCAGAAGAAGCACCGGCUAACACCGAGCCAGCAGCGGCGGUAAUUC
rnacentral:rRNA from 1 species